rnacentral:rRNA from 1 species
GACGAACGCUGGCGGCGUGCCUAACACAUGCAAGUCGAACGGAGUUAAGUCUUCGGAUUUAACUUAGUGGCGAACGGGUGAGUAACGCGUGAGUAACCUGCCUUACAGAGGGGGACAACAGUUGGAACGACUGCUAAUACCGCAUAAUGUCUAACCGAGGCAUCUCGGAUAGACCAAAGGAGCAAUCCGCUGUAAGAUGGACUCGCGUCCAAUUAGAUAGUUGGUGGGGUAACGGCCCACCAAGUCGACGAUUGGUAGCCGGACUGAGAGGUUGAGCGGCCACAUUGGGACUGAGACACGGCCCAGACUCCUACGGGAGGCAGCAGUGAGGAAUAUUGGUCAAUGGUCUGACGACUGAACCAGCCAUGCCGCGUGAAGGUCACGGCCCGUACUGGGUCGUUAAACUUCUUUUGUCAAGGGAGCAAUAAGGUCUACGUGUAGACUGAUGAGAGUACCUUGCGAAUAAGCAUCGGCUAACUCCGUGCCAGCAG